UCAAAACCAUGGAACUGGAAGCUCCUUCUUCCGUCUUCCUUAUAGUUGCAAGGUGACAAUUAAACAAACAGUUUGUGUCCGUACAGUUAGUCCAUAAACAAAACACCAUUAAUAAAAACGAUCUUUUCGAAUUAAAGGCUCCCUCUGUCCUGAAAGGGAAGAUUCAGUUUGCUCUGAUAUUAGUAUUUAAUGUUUACAGAUAAACCCACCUAUAGCAUUUCCUCCUCUGACUUUUGAACCACUUUUCUUGGACGCACUACAACAAAAAAGUCCCCAAAUAAAUUAUUUUUAAAAAAGAAAAAGGAAAAAAAUAAGUAGUUUAGCUUUGGAUUCUUGGUUAAUUCUAACCUGUAAAAUCAAGAAAGCUUUUUUAUUGCUGGAGAGGGAAAAUGGGUGCAAUGGAGUUUUACCUGUUGUGGGCUCUGCCCAUGCCUUUCACCAAGCCAAAGGUGUGAUUUUUUUU
rnacentral:lncRNA from 1 species